rnacentral:rRNA from 1 species
GAAGGGUGCAAGCGUUACUCGGAAUUACUGGGCGUAAAGCGUGCAUAGGUGGUGAGUUAAGUCUGUCGUGAAAGCCCCGGGCUCAACCUGGGAAUGGCGAUGGAUACUGGCUCGCUAGAGUGCGGUAGAGGGUGGUGGAAUUCCCGGUGUAGCAGUGAAAUGCGUAGAGAUCGGGAGGAACAUCAGUUGCGAAGGCGGCCACCUGGACCAGCACUGACACUGAGGCACGAAAGCGUGGGGAGCAAACAGGAUUAGAUACCCUGGUAGUCCACGCCCUAAACGAUGCGAACUGGACGUUGGGAGCAACUAGGCUCUCAGUGUCGAAGCUAACGCGUUAAGUUCGCCGCCUGGGGAGUACGGUCGCAAGACUG